rnacentral:sRNA from 1 species
CUGAGCCAUCGUCGCUCCUUGUCAAUCUUGCAUCCGGGCCUGCAACGGACGGGAACCGAUGGCCA